UUCGAAAGGAACGCUAAUACCGCAUACGUCCUACGGGAGAAAGCAGGGGACCUUCGGGCCUUGCGCUAUCAGAUGAGCCUAGGUCGGAUUAGCUAGUUGGUGAGGUAAUGGCUCACCAAGGCGACGAUCCGUAACUGGUCUGAGAGGAUGAUCAGUCACACUGGAACUGAGACACGGUCCAGACUCCUACGGGAGGCAGCAGUGGGGAAUAUUGGACAAUGGGCGAAAGCCUGAUCCAGCCAUGCCGCGUGUGUGAAGAAGGUCUUCGGAUUGUAAAGCACUUUAAGUUGGGAGGAAGGGUUGUUUCCUAAUACGAAGCAAUUUUGACGUUACCGACAGAAUAAGCACCGGCUAACUCUGUGCCAGCAGCCGCGGUAAUACAGAGGGUGCAAGCGUUAAUCGGAAUUACUGGGCGUAAAGCGCGCGUAGGUGGUUUGUUAAGUUGAAUGUGAAAUCCCCGGGCUCAACCUGGGAACUGCAUCCAAAACUGGCAAGCUAGAGUAGGGUAGAGGGUGGUGGAAUUUCCUGUGUAGCGGUGAAAUGCGUAGAUAUAGGAAGGAACACCAGUGGCGAA
rnacentral:rRNA from 1 species